GACGAACGCUGGCGGCGUGCUUAACACAUGCAAGUCGAACGGAAAGGCCCUGCUUUUGUGGGGUGCUCGAGUGGCGAACGGGUGAGUAACACGUGAGUAACCUGCCCUUGACUUUGGGAUAACUUCAGGAAACUGGGGCUAAUACCGGAUAGGAGCUCCUGCUGCAUGGUGGGGGUUGGAAAGUUUCGGCGGUUGGGGAUGGACUCGCGGCUUAUCAGCUUGUUGGUUGGGUAGUGGCUUACCAAGGCUUUGACGGGUAGCCGGCCUGAGAGGGUGACCGGCCACAUUGGGACUGAGAUACGGCCCAGACUCCUACGGGAGGCAGCAGUGGGGAAUAUUGCACAAUGGGCGGAAGCCGGAUGCAGCAACGCCGCGUGCGGGAUGACGGCCUUCGGGUUGUAAACCGCUUUCGCCUGUGACGAAGCGUGAGUGACGGUAAUGGGUAAAGAAGCACCGGCUAACUACGUG
rnacentral:rRNA from 1 species